ACGUGGACAGAUCCUAGCCGGAACUCGGUGCGAGCCAACCGCGGCGCUGCACACUCACCAUUGGCUGAGAGCUGCGGCAGGGGCAGGCCCAGGCUUGCGAUUGGCUGUUGGAGCAGUGUCUGGAGGGCUUAGCGGUCGGCAGUCGCUGACAGUCAUGGAGACCUCGUCGGUGCUGACCCGGGGAGCUGCAAGGCAGCGGAGCCCCGCGGCCCCGGAGAAGCAGGCGCGGGACCAGACGGAGCGGAGGCCGGGGCGGCGGAGGCAGGGGCGGAGGUGCGCACGGCUGGGCUGAGCUCCAGGUCUGGGCUUGGGGUGGCCAUGCUGCCUGUCGUGCAGCGCGACACUGUCUGUCGCUUGCGGACAAACCUACGUCCCUCCAUCCUUCUAUCCCCGGUCGCAGACGGGCCACCCGAGCAAGAUCAACGAGGAUCAAGAGGAGGAAGCAGUCUUUAGAGAGGUGGUCAGUUUCACCCCGGAUCCUUUACCAGCUAGAUAUUAUGACAAGGAUACUACCAGACCUAUCAGCUUUUACCUGUCGACGCUGGAGGAGCUCCUGGCCUGGACCCCGCUCAUGGAGGAUGGCUUCAAUGUAGCCCUGGAACCCCUGGUGUGUCGCCGGCCUCCACUCAGCAGCCCCAGGCCCCGGACCCUGCUGUGCCACGACAUGAUGGGUGGUUACCUGGAGGACAGGUUCAUUCAGGGCUCAGAGGUGCAGAACCCCUAUUCCUUCUACCACUGGCAGUAUAUCGACAUCUUUGUGUACUUCAGCCACCACACGGUCACCAUCCCCCCAGUGUGCUGGACCAAUGCCGCACACAGGCACGGGGUCUGCGUGCUGGGGACCUUCAUCACAGAGUGGCAAGAGGGAGGCAGGCUCUGCGAAGCCUUCCUGGCCGGGGAUGAGCCCUCCUUCCAGGCCGUGGCCGAUCGGCUGGUCCAGAUUGCUCAGUUCUUUCGUUUUGACGGCUGGCUCAUCAACAUCGAGAACUCCCUGACUCCAGCUGCCGUGAGGAACACACCUUUAUUUCUCCAGUACCUUACCGCACAGCUCCAUCAGCAGGUCCCCGGAGGUCUGGUGCUGUGGUACGACAGUGUGGUACAGAGCGGGCAGCUCAAGUGGCAGGAUGAACUGAAUGAUCAGAACCGGGUCUUCUUUGACUCCUGCGAUGGCUUCUUUACCAACUAUAACUGGCGGGAGGAUCACCUGCAGCGGAUGGUGGCACAGGCCGGGGAGCGCCUGGCUGACGUGUACGUGGGAGUGGAUGUGUUUGCUCGGAGCAAUGUGGUCGGAGGCCGUUUUGAUACUGACAAGUCCCUGGAGCUGAUCCGCAAACAUGGCUUCUCGGCGGCGCUGUUUGCUCCUGGGUGGGUGUAUGAGUGUCUGGAGAAGAGCGACUUCUUUCAGAACCAGGACAAGUUCUGGAGCCUGCUGGAGCGCUUCCUUCCCACACACAGUAUCUGCUCCCUGCCCUUCGUCACCUCUUUCUGCCUGGGCCUGGGUACUCGAAGAGUCUGCUACGGCAAGGAGCAAGCAGUGGGGCCCUGGUACCACCCUAGCGCCCAGGAGACACAGCCCCUCUUUGGUGAACAUAAGCUGGCUGGUGACAGUCGGGGCUGGGUGAAGACGCACUGCUGCCUGACUGAUGCCUGGCACGGGGGCAGCUCUCUGCUGCUCCGGGGCCUGAUCCCGCCUGAGGUUGACAGUGUAGCUGUGAGGCUGUUCUCUCUGCACAUCCCAGUGCCACCCAAGGUUUUCCUGUCCAUGGUGUACAAGUUUGAAGGCUCAACAGAUGUCCAGGUGGCUUUGGAGCUCACAACAGGGGAUGCCAGCAGCUGUCAUGUGGGUGGCAUGUUGGUGUUAAAUGAAACUGGCUCACGGCACAGCCCCAGACCCCUCCGGGUACCCCCCACCAGGCUGGCCAGAUGGGCCAGCAGUUGUGGCCAGCAGCUCAGUGGGGGCUGGAUUCAACGGCACCUGCUGUAAUCCUGGGCCCUGUGACCUGGGGUACCCCUGGGAUGCUUCCCCUUCAUGCUGUGGCUAGGGCCCUCGCCCAGCCAGCUUGUGAGCAGCCUGGGUGCUCUUUCAGCUGCUAUGAGGUAAACCUUCGUGGGUGCCUGCUCCAGGACCUCUUGGUGAGCUUCUCACGGCCGCCAGGCAGCCGGGAGGAGGAGAGCUUCAUUUGUCGCCUUGGAGAGAUCCAGGUGGUUGAUGCCAGCAGCCUUCUGGCCCCUCUGCCCCGGGUGCAGAAUGUCACCAUUUCUCAGAUACGAUGGCUUCCUCUGAUCACCGGGUCUGAGGGCCUCCCUACCCGGCUCCUCCUCAGCUGCACCCUGCACUGGUCCUACCUGCUGCUCCGAGCCCGCUGCUUCCGCAUUCACUGCUGGAAACGGACAGGAAGCAGCAGCUCUGUGGCAGAGUCCCCAGAGACAGAGAAGCCCACGUUCCUGGGCCUGGCUUUCGCCAACCAGUACCGUGUGGUGGACUUGGCUGUGGAGGCUGCUGGAUUUGGGCAGGAUGGUCGUGUGGAGUUCCUGGUGGAGCCUGUCCCCAGGGAGGGUUUCCUGGUGCCCCAGGCUGAGUGGGGAAAGGCGGUCCUGCUCUUCUCGGUCCCUCAGUGAGCCCGCUCCAGAGCACAGCGUCUCCUCGCCCACCUCAAGACUCGAGGUUUCCUCUUGGCCAGCCGCCCAAGGCUGCGUGGACUGCCGAGGACAGCCGGAUCCCCAGGAGAUGAGGUCUCCAGGUUCUGGCUGUGACUCAGGAAGCUGUGCCCCACGGGUGCUAGGCGAGUUCCCCUUCCACAGUGCUCUCCGUGGGAUGUGGUUCUCAAGGAAGGAGGAGAAAGUUUGAGGUUUCUUCCGGAAAAUUCCAUAAAGGCUGUUUCUCCGAGGCUGAAAAGGUGCUUCUUUUGAGAAUGGCGGCCAUUUAUCCUGUAGCUUUGACAAUCAGAGGCAAACGGCACGGGUGGCAGGCAGUAAGGAUCCCUGAAGACUGAGAGGAUAGUCAGGGGAGGAGUGGGAGUCAGGGUUGCUCACGGAGUAGCUGGAGUGGUGCUCCCCAGGACCAGGAGCACCAUCAGGUGGCUCCUGGCACCACACCCCCACCUGUAUAAGGUGGGCCAGUCACAUGUCACACUUCAGACUAACUGUAUGGAUGGUGGCUCUGGCAGCUGAAUGUCCCAGAGAAGCCCAAAUUCCUCACCUGUGUGAUAUGAGGGUGCUAACCACCAUCUCAUGUCCCUCAAGAGGCAGGUGAGCCCCGCCUGCUUCCAGGUACAGUGGCAUCCUUAGCUGUACCGAAGCCCUGUUGACACUAGGCUGCGUGGGAACUUCCUGCUGUGUGACUGCAACCUGGGUGAUGACCCCACCACUUUCCCCCCGCCUCUCCCAGUGCUUCGUGCUCAGGGCACAGUGGAACUCUCAUCCUUUCUGUGUUCCAAAUGUGACCCUCUUUGACACAGCUCUGUGGUCUGACCUGUGGCCCUCAUGCUGUAGUAUGGGGAGAGGCCGCAAGAUGGCAGAGCAGCCUGUUGCCAUCUUCCAUGGUGUAGGGACUGAAUGGAUGGGGUUUCCUCAGAUUCCUGAGUGUGGGGCAAGGAGAGAGGCUCCUGCCUGCAUGGGCUGAGCGCUGCCCUGUCACCCCCAUCUUCCUUAAUUUCCUGGGCACCCUGUUCCUCUUGAGUGAAGUAUAAGGGUGAGGACCUAGAACCUGAGAUUGGGAAAUUCUGCACUGUUCCAUGUGGUUCUACCAGCUCUCACAUAGACAGGGUGCAGGGCAGGGCCUCUGGUAAAGCCCAGGCUACUACUGUACUCUGGCAUGGCUCUGCCAACCUUGUACGGGAUUGGGGUAGGGAGAGUACCUGGAGCUGUGCUGGCCUCCCUCUGGUUUGUCGUCCAGAAUCUGCCCCGGGAGCCUUGGCUCACCCAUGCCCAGCCAGGGUUCUGUGUGACUGGAGUGGAAUCUGUGGGGAGCAGAGUGGCUGGCUGGCUCUGGGCAGGGCAGCAAUUUCUGAAUGCCCUGCUUCCCCGUGGUACAGAGUAUGCUUUUAAAAGUGCUGGUUCCUUCAAAUAUUUUAUGCAGAGAAGGAGAGAAAAUUUAUAGUGGCAAUUAUUCCCUCACAGUCUGGUGAGCAAGCAAUUAGAAGGAAGGGGGCUUAGCGGAGCCACGGCGUGAGGUAGAGCAGCGCAACCUCACUUCCCAGGAGCACGGCCCCCAGUCCCGGCAACGCUGGCUCCUGCGCAGGAAAAUUAAUCUGCCGGCAUUUAAGCCUAGGCCCCUCUGGUGGAUAUAAUCGCUCAGAAAUAAAUUAUCCAAUGUGAAAAA